UGCACAUAAUUAUUUUGUCGUUCAAUUUUUUAUGUUGUGUUGGGUUUUCAGGUUGUUGUUUGGUCAUUGUUUGGAGAUGAAUGAUGUUGUUAUUAUGUUGUUAUGGAUUUACUCCACUUGUUUUGUGUGAUGAUUAUGUUGUUGUUAUUACGGUGAUUGCAUCGUGAACAUUUUUGGUGAUAUUGCAUGUUAUGGUGACUCGUGCAUCAUGGUGUACGAACU
rnacentral:lncRNA from 1 species